GGGCUGUGUGAGCUCUUGCCAUCUGCCUCAGUGCAAAGUCAGGCGGGUGAGCCCAAACCACCCUCAGUGCCUGUUCAAACUGAGCCACCUGGGUCAGCACCCAAGUGAACAAGGAGCAGUCCUUGAUCCUUCCUUCUGCUCUUGCUGUGGUGGCCAUAGAGUUUAGUUAUUUUGUUUUUAUGGUACUUUGAGAAACAAUAGAACCUUCUGCCAUAGCCAGGCAUAGGGGAUUACUCAGGGCAGGAAUUCCUAUUCCUACAUUGCUUCCCAUGCUGCAGAAAGCCAGCACAGCUAAUAUGUGUCCCCUUGAACAGCACUGGGUAUAGUUCUUGCUAUUCUUGCAAAUAUAAAGGUCCUGGGGAUCUGUGCCAUUAAUCCUAUCCCAUCUGCUUUCCAUCCAGAAGAGGAGAAGGGCUUGCCUGGCACCAGAAGAGGCAGGACAGGAUCUGCUGAACAGUUAGAUGUACUGUGCAUCCACCAGUUUGAGCAGCAUUUAAGGUGCUAUAAGGAACUCAAGAAGCAUGGAUGAGUCUUGUGCAGCUCCUGGCAGUGCUGUGCCAUGCAGAAGGGUGAGUUGGCUCACUUGUGCAGCAGAUGUGUGUGUCUGGACCUCUGAGAGGU
rnacentral:lncRNA from 1 species